UACAGAGGGUGCGAGCGUUGUCCGGAAUCACUGGGCGUAAAGGGCGCGUAGGCGGUGACUUAAGCGUGUGGUGAAAGCUCGGGGCUCAACCCCGAGUCGGCCGUGCGAACUGGGUCACUGGAGCAGAUCAGAGGCAGGCGGAAUUCCGGGUGUAGCGGUGAAAUGCGUAGAUAUCUGGAGGAACACCGGUGGCGAAGGCGGCAUCCUGGACCAUUACUGACGCUGAGGAGCGAAAGCCAGGGGAGCAAACGGG
rnacentral:rRNA from 1 species